UAAUAAAUGAAAAAAAAAAUUGGCAAUCGAUUCACCAUUCUCCUAUCCUCCACUAGAAUCCAUUUCGCCCCCUAGCUCCCACCCACCGGCGAUUCUCCACCCACCGCCGCGAUCUGCCUAUGACCCCCACCGCGAUUCGCCGCGCCGGCACCCAUCCUCUUCUCUCCCGUCUCCAACCCUCCACCCACCGCCGCAAUCUGCCCAAUCGUGCCAGGCCCCGCCCACCGCCACGAUCUACCUCGCCGUCUCCUUCCCUCCACCCACCGUGCCUGGCCCCCGCAGCGCCCCACCGCGCCCCGCCCCUCCCACCGCAAUGAUCUGCUUCACCAGCUCUUCCUUCCCCCCUCCGCGAUUCGUCGUCCAGCCUCAAGUGACUCUCUCCUUCCCCUGCCGCGACGAUUUGAAAGCACCCUCAUCGUUUCUUUGACCUUCCCCUCUCCGCCGCCAUCAGCCAUGUAACUGGAGGUGAAGAAGAAACUUCUUGCCGCUGUGCUCCAAAACUCAACGAGGGCCGUCGUUCAACCUUGCCUCCCCUUCCUGAAGACCCGCCACUGUCCCUGUGCCGUCGUCGGAGACUCCUCUGCCUCGACGAACAAGGCAGCCACCCCGGGCUCUCGCAAGUGAAAUGAGAGUCUCACACAAACAGGUUGGAUUGGAGAUUGAAGAUACGAGGGAAGAGGAAGAAGAGGAGGAAAAUGAGCAUGAUGAAUUAAGAGGGCUAACAUUUUAGUGUUGUUGCCUCUGCAAAUGGCCCCAAUCCGAAGUAGGAGAAAACCAAGAACGGCUCCAAUCCGGGCAGUCUGAAGCAGGAAAAAACAAAGAAGUUGAUCUCCAGCAGCGCCCCAGAUCAUACUGAUCCAAAGCUGUCAAGUUUGCUACCGAAAAAGAAAGUUAAACGGAAGCCUGAUGCCAAGGUGGUCGAAGCCACAUUCCGCCUCGAGUAGCUGGUGGUUUCGUAGGGCGGAGAAACGACAUUAACUUGAUAAUGAUCACUCGGGUGUUGUUUAUCUGUGUAAAGCAUUGAGCUACCGUUGAUAGUUGAUUACAGUUGAUAGUUGAGUAGUUUUUUAGUUAGAUUUUUUGUUAUGGUGUAUUAAUCUUUGUGGUAAUUUUUGUAAUUAUUGCCACUGAACUACAGUUUAUAGAGGAUUUUGAAGGUUCUCUAUUACAAGUU